rnacentral:lncRNA from 1 species
CCUCUUAUAUUAAAAAAAAAUUCAAAUAUUUCAUCAGCUAUUAGAAAUGACUCAUUCACCUAAUUCGUUGUUGGGUAUUUACCUUGAUUUUCAAGCAGAAUAAUAGGUUUUCCUUUUCCUAAAAGUAAAGGACAAAGUCUUCAUAUUUGGCUAGUCAUUUUUCUUAUAGAAAAAUGUUUAUCACUCUAUAAAUAGAGGUUCAUUCAUUUUAACUUGAUAACAUUCACAAUGAAGCCCUAGAGGCUUUGCGAGUUUUGUUUAAGGGGAGAAUUAUUGGGAUACAAAUGAUAUAUUUAUCACUUAGGUGAACUUUUUUUUUUAUUACUAGUGAAUUGUGUGAGAUUAUUUCUCUCAAUAUUUUGUACUCUCAUAUUUAUAUAGUGAAUUGUUCAUCUUCUUUUGUGGA